AUUGAACGCUGGCGGCAUGCCUUACACAUGCAAGUCGAACGGUAACGGGCCUUCGGGUGCCGACGAGUGGCGAACGGGUGAGUAAUACAUCGGAACGUGCCCGAUCGUGGGGGAUAACGAGGCGAAAGCUUUGCUAAUACCGCAUACGAUCUACGGAUGAAAGCAGGGGACCGCAAGGCCUUGCGCGGACGGAGCGGCCGAUGGCAGAUUAGGUAGUUGGUGGGAUAAAAGCUUACCAAGCCGACGAUCUGUAGCUGGUCUGAGAGGAUGAUCAGCCACACUGGGACUGAGACACGGCCCAGACUCCUACGGGAGGCAGCAGUGGGGAAUUUUGGACAAUGGGCGCAAGCCUGAUCCAGCCAUGCCGCGUGCAGGAUGAAGGCCUUCGGGUUGUAAACUGCUUUUGUACGGAACGAAAAGCCUUCUUUUGAUACAGGAGGGUCAUGACGGUACCGUAAGAAUAAGCACCGGCUAACUACGUG
rnacentral:rRNA from 1 species